GACGAACGCUGGCGGCGUGCUUAACACAUGCAAGUCGAACGGAAAGGCCCUGCUUUUGUGGGGUGCUCGAUUGGCGAACGGGUGCGUAACACGUGAGUAACCUGCCCUUGACUUUGGUAUAACUUCAGGAAACUGGGGCUAAUACCGGAUAGGAGCUCCUGCUGCAUGGUGGGGGUUGGAAAGUUUCGGCGGUUGGGGAUGGACUCGCGGCUUAGCAGCUUGUUGGUGGGGUAGUGGCUUACCAAGGCUUUGACGGGUAGCCGGCCUGAGAGGGUGACCGGCCACAAUGGGACUGAGAUACGGCCCAGACGCCUACGGGAGGCAGCAGUGGGGAAUAUUGCACAAUGGGCGGAAGCCUGAUGCAGCAACGCCGCGUGCGGGAUGACGGCCUUCGGGUUGUAAACCGCUUUCGCCUGUGACGAAGCGUGAGUGACGGUAAUGGGUAAAGAAGCACCGGCUAACUACGUG
rnacentral:rRNA from 1 species